AAGAAAAUCUAGCCCUGCACGCUUCGUCCCCAAUCUGUCGAUCCCCUCUCCGCUUGCCUCCUCCUCUCCCGGGUCGCUGCGCCGCCGGCUCAGCCGCUUCUCCUGCGCCUUCUCCUCCUCGCUCCUCUCCUCAUAGAUGAGUCCUCGACCAGAUCGGCAUCCAGCGCAGGAGGAUCCGGAUGGUCGUGGUGGUGGCAUAUUCAGCGGCGUCGCCGGACGAGCUCCAGGCGCGGGGGAGAUAUCUCCACGGGCCCGCGCAACCACGUCCCCUCGCUGACGUCGGCAUGUAGUCCGCCCAUGCCGUCGCGGAGAGGGAGCAGCCGCGCCCGGAAGAGGUCGUCCCCAACGUCUGCAUAAUCCAGUCCGGAUUUGUGGAGAGCCCGGCGCAGCACCGUCUACAGGCCCAUAUCUCUUACUCUACCUUCUUCCUUGCAAAGGCAAGGCUUCCAUUGCUCUUCAGUUCUGGUUACUAGUUGGAAACUGUAAAAAUAUCUGAUGAAGCACAUCAGCUUUCCACAGUGGCCAUGUAACUAAAUUCUGAAUGUUGCUUCGUUAUGACGCGUAGGAGCCCAAGCAGCACCAGGCACAUUUGAGUUUCCUCUCCCAACGCCAGCAAGUCCAUCAGCUGCUCCUCUUGCGUUAACACACACAGGACUAAACAUACCAUUCCCAUCGCCUUGGGCAUCUGCAAGGCAGAUACUACCUUCAGUUCCUGAAGCACUUGUCCUAUCAUGCUCCUGCCUGUAGUCACAAGAAUUACUUGUAAGGCAACAGUUUCUGCAAGUAUCAGGAACUAUUGCUUGCACUCUGCGGCACAGGAGCAUCUGCAUUAACAAAUCAGCAAAGUUUCAGAGAUGGUCUUACAGGGAAAAAAGCAUUUAUAGGGGAAAAAGCCCAUUUUACAGGGAUAGACUAACCUGAAGCCAAAGACCAUCAUUUAUAGCUUUGCAAGGAAAUUCAAAUUCUUCAAGUUGCUUUCGAACACUUAACAGUGCAUCAAAUGACAUAUUGUAAUAGAGAAGAGAACCCCUUUCAAAUAUAUUCAUGAAAGUAUUAUGCUUGAUGGAGCAGGGCCGGAGCUUCAAUGACGAAUCCACUAUUCGCAGACAGCCCAACUCGACAGGCACGAGCCAUGUCGACAGUCGAGGUGGCACUCAGGGGCAUGCUCACCUCGGCAGUCAUCAAGGUGGCGAGAUCAAUUCUACCAUUUCAGGCAACAUCAAGCUGCACAGGAAACUGAGGAACGAUCUAGAGAACAUGAAGAUGAUGCCAGAGUCGGUGGAGGUUGUGCUCGGCGACGUUGAGAGGGAGUCUAUCAAGCAUAAGUCCAUGCUUCUGUGGCUGAAUUGGCUUAAGGAUGCCGCGAACGACGUCUCCGACAUGCUUGAAGAUUUUGAAGAUGAAACCGACUUCAACCUGCUAUGCAAGAUUCUGUCGAUUUGGCCACUAUCAAUCUUGAUCUGAAUGAUGUUGUUUAAUAAUAGAUGAAUAUUUUUAGAUAAUGAACUACAUCUAAAACUUUUUUAUGUAGUGAAGUAGAUCUUAACCUCACUGUUGGAGUUGAUCUUUGAGUCGAUGUUAAGUAAAAGCUACUUCUGCUUGUUGAUGCAAGACCACCUUUAGAUUCGAAAAUGUCCCUGCCUUCUUUUGUUUGACCAAUAGUAAGCUAUGUCCACAAAUACCAUGAUUUGAUUGAGGGGAAAGUGAAGUAGAACUAGUCUGGUAUCCCAAGUGUAAUAUCAGUUUCUGCAUUGUUUUUCUCAACCACCUGAUUGAAACUAGUUUGUAAUGCCAUCUCCGCCCCUUUCAAGCCUUCCAUGGUACUGAUACACCGCAUUGUACCUCUUGCAGCGGGCAGCCACGAUGAAGAAGAUUAAGAUGCCACGUAAGAUGAGAUCGAUGCAAAAGCGCCUACAAAAGAUGGACUGUGAUAGUUAUGGUGUUCAGCCAGAAAUUCACUACAAGGAGUGGCAAGUUCCUGACAUCCAGGAAACAACAGGAUAUGUGGAGGAGGCAGAAAUCAUCCGCAGGACUGAUGAUGAAAGGAAAAUCUUGGAUUGCAUAUCUGGGAGCAAUAGUUAUUUCCCCCUGCUUUUGAUUACAGUGAUUGGAGUCAGUAGGUAGUGAUUAGAGUCAGUAGGUAAUACAGGACAUGGUAAAUUUCAUUGGAAUAUAACUUGCAAGUUGAUGGGUUCAGAACCUUUGUGCUGUGAAAAAGAGUUACAUUCUUAUGAUUAUGCCACUGGACUAUGGCCAUUUUCCCUUCAAAUUAGCUAGGAAUCUGUCUAUUUAGGCAGUGUAUGGCGCCGUAUAGAAUGGACAGUAAUUAUGUAUAGUAUUUCUUCGAAAACCAGAAUUGGCUCAAUUUGGAAGAAUGGCUGCUUUAUGUGAA